rnacentral:rRNA from 1 species
UAGCCAGACUCCUACGGGAGGCAGCAGUGGGGAAUAUUGCACAAUGGGGGAAACCCUGAUGCAGCGACGCCGCGUGAGCGAUGAAGUAUUUCGGUAUGUAAAGCUCUAUCAGCAGGGAAGAAAAUGACAGUACCUGACUAAGAAGCCCCGGCUAACUACGUGCCAGCAGCCGCGGUAAUACGUAGGGGGCAAGCGUUAUCCGGAUUUACUGGGUGUAAAGGGAGCGUAGACGGCAAUGCAAGCCAGAUGUGAAAGCCCGGGGCUCAACCCCGGGACUGCAUUUGGAACUGUGUAGCUGGAGUGUCGGAGAGGCAGGCGGAAUUCCUAGUGUAGCGGUGAAAUGCGUAGAUAUUAGGAGGAACACCAGUGGCGAAGGCGGCCUGCUGGACGAUGACUGACGUUGAGGCUCGAAAGCGUGGGGAGCAAACAGGAUUAGAUACCCCCGUACAC